GAUGAACGCUGGCGGCGUGCUUAACACAUGCAAGUCGAACGAAGCAUUUAGAACGGAUUACUUCGGUUUGAAGUUCUUUAUGACUGAGUGGCGGACGGGUGAGUAACGCGUGGGUAACCUGCCUUGUACUGGGGGAUAGCAGCUGGAAACGGCUGGUAAUACCGCAUAAGCGCACAAUGUUGCAUGACAUGGUGUGAAAAACUCCGGUGGUAUAAGAUGGACCCGCGUCUGAUUAGCGAGUUGGUGAGAUAACAGCCCACCAAGGCGACGAUCAGUAGCCGACCUGAGAGGGUGACCGGCCACAUUGGGACUGAGACACGGCCCAGACUCCUACGGGAGGCAGCAGUGGGGAAUAUUGCACAAUGGAGGAAACUCUGAUGCAGCGACGCCGCGUGAGUGAAGAAGUAAUUCGUUAUGUAAAGCUCUAUCAGCAGGGAAGAUAGUGACGGUACCUGACUAAGAAGCUCCGGCUAAAUACGUGCCAGCCGCCGCCGUAAGAC
rnacentral:rRNA from 1 species